rnacentral:rRNA from 1 species
UACAGAGGUCCCGAGCGUUAGUCGGAUUCAUUGGGCUUAAAGCGUGCGUAGGCGGAUGUGCAGGCGUCGUGUGAAAGCCCUCGGCUCAACCGGGGAAUUGCACGGCGAACCGCAUGUCUUGAGACAAGUAGGGGCGGUCGGAACGAUAGGUGGAGUGGUGAAAUGCGUUGAUAUCUAUCGGAACGCCAAAGGUGAAGACAGACCGCUGGGCUUGUUCUGACGCUGAGGCACGAAAGCGUGGGGAGCAAACGGG